rnacentral:rRNA from 1 species
AUUGAACGCUGGCGGAAUGCUUUACACAUGCAAGUCGAACGGCAGCACGGACUUCGGUCUGGUGGCGAGUGGCGAACGGGUGAGUAAUGUAUCGGAACGUGCCCAGUCGUGGGGGAUAACGUAGUGAAAAUUACGCUAAUACCGCAUACGAUCUAUGGAUGAAAGCGGGGGAUCGCAAGACCUCGCGCGAUUGGAGCGGCCGAUAUCAGAUUAGGUAGUUGGGGGGGUAAAGGCCCACCAAGCCAAAGAUCUGUAGCUGGUCUGAGAGGACGACCAGCCAAACAGAAGCUGAGAAACGGUCCAGACUCCUACGGGAGGCAGCAGUGGGGAAUUUUGGACAAUGGGCGAAAGCCUGAUCCAGCCAUUCCGCGUGCAGGAUGAAGGCCCUCGGGUUGUAAACUGCUUUUGUACAGAACGAAAAGGUUUCUACUAAUACUAGGAGCUCAUGACGGUACUGUAAGAAUAAGCACCGGCUAACUACGUGCCAGCAGCCGCCGUAA